GGGCCCAGCCAGUCUUCCCCAGGCAUGGGGGGCUCAGCCACUUGGUGGGCUCAGCAAAUCUGGAACAUUUGCAUAUCCAGAUGGCCAAGCCUUGAAUUUCAAAGAUUUCCCCAUGAAGAGGCAGCUGGCUUCCGGGUGGUGGCCCUGGACGCUCACACCUGUUGGGCUGGAAGACUGAGGAGACCAGGGCCCCAAAAUACAAGAUAAACUUGAAACAGACAAGAACAUUUCCCAGGCCCUAUCACUAGCCCCCAACUCUGCUCCUUCUGUCCCCAGGCCUCCAUCUUCAAGGUCUAAGGAGCCAUGUGCUGGUUGCCCAGGGUAGGUGGGCAGGCAAGUGAUAAUGGACUGCUGCCUCUGUGACCUGCUAGAAAUAUGGGAUCUCCUUGUUCACAUGCAGCAAUAGACAGAUCUUUUCCUGCAUGUAACCUGGAGCUAGGUGGGCAGAGGUCCUAACCUGGAGCCUGGUUCACCUAUUCACACACAGAGACAUGGCUGCCAUAGCAACGGGGAGGGCAGAGGGGAGCUGGCAGCUUGACACUUCCAGUAGGCUUUGGGCUGAAAUACAAGUCACUAACCUUUUCCUUCACUGUAAGGCUGAGAACCUGACUGAACUUGGCACUGGCCCAUCUGAUUCUGGAUAUACCACGCACAAAGCUUAAGUCCGAAAGAAUCUCCCCACUCCAACAAAAGCCCCUCUCAGGUUGUGCCCAUGCAGAUUCACUGACCACACGCCUCACGGUUGUCACAGCUAUGGGUCACCACUGCCCUCUGCUGGCCACUCAAGGCACUAGCAUCCACUCAGACACCAAAGCCAUCAUCUCACUCCCCACAUAAGCAAACACACUUCAGUCAUCACCUCCAUCUGUGGGCACUGAAAUGCAACUCCAUUCAGCCGUCCUCUGAGCCAGGGGGCUGACAGGAGACAGGAAGAACAGGGACCACCUCAGGGACACAAU
rnacentral:lncRNA from 1 species